AUCCAGUUGAUGAGUCCCGAAUAGGACGAAACGCGCGUCCUAGAU
rnacentral:hammerhead_ribozyme from 1 species